rnacentral:rRNA from 1 species
GGAGGGGGCUAGCGUUGUUCGGAAUCAUUGGGCGUAAAGGGCGCGGAGGCGGCCGAUCAAGUCGGAGGUGAAAUCCCUCGGCUCAACUGAGGAAUUGCCUUCGAUACUGGUCGGCUUGAGUCCUGGAGAGGGUAGCGGAAUUCCCGGGGGAGCGGUGAAAUGGGUAGAGACCGGGAAGAACACCAGUGGCGAAGGGGGCUACCUGGACAGGUACUGACGCUGAAGCGCGAAAGCUAGGGGAGCAAACAGGAUUAGAUACCCUGGUAGUCCUAGCUGGAAACGAUGGGCACUUGGUGGUGCGGGUAUCGACCCCUGGAGUGGCGAAGCUAACGCAUUAAGUGCCCCGCCUGGGGAGUACGGUCGCAAGGCUG